UACGUAGGGUGCGAGCGUUUGUCCGGAAUUAUUGGGCGUAAAGAGCUUGUAGGCGGUUUGUCGCGUCUGCUGUGAAAUCUCAAGGCUCAACCUUGAGCUUGCAGUGGGGUACGGGCAGACUAGAGUGUGGUAGGGGAGACUGGAAUUCCUGGUGUAGCGGUGGAAUGCGCAGAUAUCAGGAGGAACACCGGUGGCGAAGGCGGGUCUCUGGGCAGUAAACUGACGCUGGAGGAGCGAAAGCCGUGGGGAGCGAACCGG
rnacentral:rRNA from 1 species